AUUAUAAAAAGCUUGUUAAAUUAAUUGUAGUAAUUUAUUGCCUAAGAAAAAUAAUUUUUAUUAAAAAUUAGUAAUUUUUAUUGAAUUACAAAAAUAACUAUAGUAGAAAGUACUGUAAAGGAAAAUUGAAAAAUUUAAAAUAGUAAAUUUAAAAAUUUGUACCUUGUGUAUCAGGGAAAAUUUAUAUUAAUUAAUAAAAAUUUAAAUAUCUCGAAAUAAAAUAUAGCUAAUCUUGUAAAAAAUUUUUUGUUGAAAAUAAAUUUUUAAUAUGGGAUUAAAGGUGAAAUGCUAAACGAGUUUUAUAAUAUCUGGUUUUCUAAAAAUAAAUUUAAUUUAAUUUUUAUAUUAAUUUAUAUAAAAUUUAAAUGUAGGAGGGAUUAGCUUCUUAUAAAUUAAAAUAAAAAAUAGUUUAAAAAUAAAAAUAUAAGUGAAUUAGGCUUAAAAGUAGCUAUAUUGAUAAAGUGUUUUAACUAAAUUGGAAUUAUAUAAUAUUUAUUUAAGCUUUUAUAUAUAUAUAUUAGGAAAUUAAUUAAAAUUUUAUUUAUUAAGUUAUAAUGAUUUUAUUAGUAGAAUUUUUUUUGUAAAUAAAAUACAUUAGAAUAAUUGUGAUUAUUUAAUUUUAUUGAGGUAAUAUAAAGGAACUCGGCAAAAUAAUUUCUUUGCCUGUUUAUCAAAAACAUGUCUGUUUGGAGUUAUAAAAAGUUUAACCUGCCCCCUGACUAGUAAUAAGAAGUUAAAUGGCCGCGGUAUUUUGACCGUGCAAAGGUAGCAUAAUCGUUAGUUUUUUAAUUGGAAUCUUGUAUGAAUGGUUGGACAAAAGAAAAUCUGUCUUUGUAUUAUUAAUUGAAUUUAACUUUUGAGUGAAAAGGCUUAAAUAAAUUGAAGUGACGAUAAGACCCUAUAAAACUUUAUAUAAACAUAUUAUUUGAUUGAAUUUAAAAUAAAAAUUUAAUAAUAAAAUUUAUUUUGUUGGGGCGAUAAAAGUAAAAUUUUUAUUAACUGCUUUAAGUUUUGAAUACAUUUAUGUUUGAUUAAAAUUUUUAGAUGAUCCUAAAUAAAGAUUAAAAGUUUAAGUUACUUUAGGGAUAACAGCGUUAUUUUUUUUGAGAGUACUUAUCGAAAAAAAAGUUUGCGACCUCGAUGUUGAAUUAAAAUUUCUU
rnacentral:rRNA from 1 species